UAAUCCAAAACCCUAAAUUCUCAAACAUAUGAUUCCCCCCUUUCUACCAAAUCUUCAUUGUAGCUUUACGAGAAGUAGAGAAGUAGACGUACAUCGAAAAUGUAGAUUUCUAUAACGCAUUCUUGACAGAAAGAACGAUUUUCUCUGUCUGUAUCAAUUUUUUCUUUUUCUUCCGAUCCUACAUUUCAUUGUUCUUCCGAUCUCUAUCUUUUCGUUUUGAAAUUUGAAGAUGAUGUUAUUCUUAGGUAUUAUUGCAUUUGCUGAUUUUUCACAUGCGAUUUUUUCCCAGGAAUCAUGUUUAGUGAGGCUAUGAUUAGAAUGAGAGAGGCUGGAGUGAGAUCUUUCUGUUUUGAAAGCCCUUCUUCACGUCAUCUCACUGUUUGAUUAGAAACAGAGAAGGUGCCGGCUGCUUUCUAUGCAUGCAUUGGUAUCUCUUCUGUUACUUCUUCUCACUUUCAGGUGACUGUGAUGGUUGGAUCAUCCACUAUGACAGUACUUAUACACUUGAUAUGAGCCUUUAAAAAAUAUCAAUUUUAAAGUACUGGUUUUUUCUUUCUUUUUCUUUGGUGUUCGAAGAUCAAUUCAUGUCAUAGAUUCAUGUAAAAUUAAUCUUUGGUAUUCUAAAAUUAUUGUUUAAUAUUAAUUUUUGAUGUUAUAUUGCAAGUUAGUUUAUCAAGCUUCGAUCUUUGCUUUGCAAAAUAGGAUUCGAGCUAAAUCCUAUUCUCACUUGGCGAGCUGAGUCCGAGCUUAGCUUUACUUGAUUCGAUUUGUUAAACACACUACGGAUGAACGAGACUAAAAUUGUUGGAGCUUUAUUCGGUGAGCUUGAAUUAAUUUUAAGUUCUACUACACUAUUUUAAUAUCUUUUAGUUUUUUCCCAUUUUUGUUAAAAAAAGUCUUCUCUUUGUUUUAUCUCUUUUCAUUCUAAAUAUACGAUCAAGAUUCAAAGUUUAUAAUCUAGGCAUAAAGCUAGCUUGUUUGAAGUUUGUUUUUCUAUAACAACAAGACGAAGUUUAUCUAGAAUGAGAAUAGAUCGAUUAUUGAAUCAAAUUUUUUUUAUUAGUUUUAAUCAUCAAUUUAGGCCUAUCUAUAGACAUAUCAAUAGAUACCUUUUCUAAAAAAAGGUAGAGAUCUUAAAAUACGUAUGCAGAAUACUCAUAUUUUAUCUCUUAUUGACUUAUUCUCAAUAUCACUGACACUGUCAUGAUAUUAAAACUUAAAGAUGUCAUAGUUAGGUUUAAAAUGAUGGUAUUGAUUAUCAAAGCUUAUAUUUUAUUAUCUAUUUUUAAUUAGAGCUGUCACGAUAUUACAUCUAUACUUAUACAUUGAGCUAAUAAUUUACUAUUAAUCUCGAACCCAAAGACCUAGUACUGAAUCCUGAUGAUUUUAAAUACUGAAUAAACAUAUAUAAAAUGCAACUUCAAUACUUUAUUGGUCUUAGAUUCUUAGAUACAUAAAUAUUAAAAUAUUUUAAAGAUCAAAUUAUAGUGUUUAUUCAUUCAUCAUUGACUAACUGUUUCGAGUAGAACACAGUAUCAAACAUAUAACUUUUUUUGCUAUAUAUAUGCAUAGGUGUUGAUUUUUUCUUCAUCCUCCAAUUCAAAACUCCUCUUUAUUAAGAUAGAUAACUAAUUAGCUAUGGGUGAAUUUGCUGUCUCUUCAGGUAUCUACAUUAGUUUUCCCUCCCUUUAUCUUUUUACUUAAAUGAUCACAAUUGUUAUUAUGAUAUCUGACAAUCCAUGAUUCUAAUUUUUUUUUAUAACGAAAGGUACCUCUGUACAAUUUAAAAGAUCUACCUUUGAGUAAUAUAACAGUGCCAUAUCGAAACCCUUAGCAAAUUUAAUAGUUACUGUGACUAGUUGAAUUAAUUUUCCUCUGUUAUAUAUAUCUGAUGAUAAUAUUAUGUAUCUACUCUAGAAAUUUUUCAUGAAGGUAUUUUCUUCUUUUUGAUUAUACUGUAU
rnacentral:lncRNA from 1 species